rnacentral:rRNA from 1 species
AGUUUAACAGGUGCUUGCACCGGUUAAACUUAGUGGCGGACGGGUGAGUAACGCGUGGGUAACCUGCCUCGUACUGGGGGAUAACAGUUGGAAACAGCUGCUAAUACCGCAUAAGCGCACAGAGCUGCAUGGCUCAGAGAGAAAAACUCCGGUGGUACGAGAUGGACCCGCGUCUGAUUAGCUAGUUGGUGAGGUAACGGCCCACCAAAGCGACGAUCAGUAGCCGGCCUGAGAGGGUGAACGGCCACAUUGGGACUGAGACACGGCCCAAACUCC